GGAGAAGGAACCUUAAGGAAGAGGGAAUGAGAGGAUCACUGCUGUAAGAAAGGAGCACUGGAGCUGGGCAUCCAAACCCAUCCGUUUUCUCUGUGUUGCCUCCACGAGCAGCAGCAGGAUGACAGGAGGGCGCGAGAUGAAGAGAGACUGGCAGGGCACGUGGCACGUGGCUCAGCCUGGCCCUUACCCUGGAGCAGCUGAAGCCUGUGAGAGGUUAGCAGCUUUUCCAGCCUGAGUCCCAAGAAUUCCAGUGACCCUGUGCUCUCCUGACAGCGGAUGCAGUGAGAAACCUGAAUAAUGUGGUUGAGGAGCCUGACCCAGGAGGAAACCCGGAGCUGGUGAGAAUCUGCGGCUAUCAGGAAUUUCUGGAGCUCUUUCUGCAUUUCCUUGCCGAUCCCAGGCACGAAGCAUCCAGCUGAAACCGAAGCAGGCGUUCGGGGGGGAAAGGAAUAUUUCCUAGGUGCGAAGGUAGGAGCAGGAUUCCUGCAUCCCAUGGGAUGUCUUGCUGUGUGCUGCUGGAGCCCAGCUCAGCGUGAGCAGCAGUGGGAGAAGGAGGCAAACACUAGCCUGCAAUAAUCCAGUGUAUGGAAAUAAUCCAGUGUAUGGAAAUCAGCAGGUGUUUGCUGUGCGAGCCCUGCUUGUCUGAAUUUUUUCUUCAAGUGAAUUUGACAAGCCUGGAAGAUGGUGCUGCGCACAGGAGCUGCUGUUGGCCUCCUGUGCAGCGAUUUGCAGCAGCUGCCAAAGACCCCACCAGCUCUGGGCAGGGGUGAAUUUCUUCCACGUGCUGGUUUGUCAGGUCCUGCACCACAGAACAUUCAGAGACUGGGAAUUGCUCCUCUGUGAGAGGGUGUGGUGGCUCUGUGCUCAGUGGGUUUUUAAUGGGACUCUCAGGAAUGAGGUGUGUCUGGGCUAAGCAGCCCUUCAUGGUUUUUUACCAGGUUGAAGUAAUACCCUUGCCCCUAAUUCAUUG